rnacentral:rRNA from 1 species
UACGUAGGGUGCGAGCGUUGUCCGGAAUUACUGGGCGUAAAGAGCUCGUAGGCGGCUUGUCGCGUUGUUCGUGAAAAUUUACCGCUCAACGGUGAACUUGCGGGCGAUACGGGCAGGCUAGAGUACUGCAGGGGAGACUGGAAUUCCUGGUGUAGCGGUGAAAUGCGCAGAUAUCAGGAGGAACACCGGUGGCGAAGGCGGGUCUUUGGGCAGUAACUGACGCUGAGGAGCGAAAGCGUGGGGAGCGAACAGG